rnacentral:rRNA from 1 species
CAGCCGUAAACAGUGUGAGUUAGGUAUGUCGGUAACCACGUGUUACUGAUGUGCCGAAGAGAAAUCGUGAAACGCACCACCUGGGAAGUACGGUCGCAAGGCUGAAACUUAAAGGAAUUGGCGGGGGAGCACCACAACAGGUGGAGCCUGCGGUUUAAUUGGAUUCAACGCCGGACAUCUCACCGGAUAAGACAGCUGAAUGAUUGUCAAUCUGAAGGUUUUACAUGACUAGCUGAGAGGUGGUGCAUGGCGUCAGUGACU